CGCACGUCGUCUCCCUAUCGCCGCAUGUCCUGAGGUUGUACACAUAUAUUAGAUGAGAGCCGCUUGAUGACUCCGGUUAGCAGAUCUUUUGGGCACCAGUUUGGGCUUCAGAAGAGCAACUGUUUUUGGUACAAGCUAGGAGCGUGAGGGGAAACUCAGCCUGUUCUUGAUCAUCUCAUGUAAGAAGUUUGAUUCUUGCUUUACAUAAAUGAGUAGCCGGACCUUAC